AGGCCUAACACAUGCAAGUCGAACGAACUNCUUCGGAGUUAGUGGCGGACGGGUGAGUAACACGUGGGAACGUGCCUUUUGGUUCGGAAUAACUCAGGGAAACUUGUGCUAAUACCGAAUGUGCCCUUCGGGGGAAAGAGUUAUCGCCAUUAGAGCGGCCCGCGUCUGAUUAGCUAGUUGGUGAGGUAAAAGCUCACCAAGGCGACGAUCAGUAGCUGGUCUGAGAGGAUGACCAGCCACACUGGGACUGAGACACGGCCCAGACUCCUACGGGAGGCAGCAGUGGGGAAUCUUGCGCAAUGGGCGAAAGCCUGACGCAGCCAUGCCGCGUGAAUGAUGAAGGUCUUAGGAUUGUAAAAUUCUUUCACCGGGGACGAUAAUGACGGUACCCGGAGAAGAAGCCCCGGCUAACUUCGUGCCAGCAGCCGCGGUAAUACGAAGGGGGCUAGCGUUGCUCGGAAUUACUGGGCGUAAAGGGCGCGUAGGCGGAUCGUUAAGUCAGAGGUG
rnacentral:rRNA from 1 species